UCAAACACUGGUUCCUGUACGAUCACCGAAGUUAAGCAACGUCGAGCCCGGUCAGUACCUAGAUGGGUGACCGCUUGUGGAUACCAGAUGCUGUAAG